CUGCUGAGUCCAGACCAAGGCAGCCGGGAAGACCUGAGGUCCAGGAAGUGACAGAGCAGGGACAGGAAGAGGAGGAGCCAGGCCAGCAGGAGGACUAGCAGCCACUUCCUGUACGGCUUCAUCCUGCAUCAGAGGUGCGGUGAGGAGGAGGUCCUGCAGAGACACUGCAGGCUGCAGGCUCGUUGUGACACCAGCUGAGUUUCCUUCGGUGUCCCGCGGGAUCAGUCUCCCAGAAUCCUCUGCUGGACUGGUUUCACUGUGGAUGUUGGGGGGCUACGAGUGUCCUGAUUGGCUGCCUCGGUCCCUUUCAGUGAAACAACAGCUCAGUUCGCUCCACCCGUCUGGUGCUGCAUGCAGAGUAAAAUUAAGCGCUCAUUGUCUGUCCAUCUGUCGGGACCGCAGGACGUCGGUCCGUCCCAGGACGCAGCGUCACUGCUGGGCCAGCAAGGCGUUGCGGUUGGCCUUCAUCUUGUCCAGACGUUUGGACAGGUGGCUGUUACUCGCCUCCAGCUCGUCGAUCCGGUCCAGAGCCGAGCGGAGCUGCAGGACAAAAGAGGAAGAGCUCGUCUUCGAUCUUCUCAGCGUUUUCUGCCGCCGACUUGUAUCGAGUCACCUGACCUUCCAGUCGGAUCACCUGAGGUCAGUAAAAAGUGAAGUUGUCUUCAGCUACACGUCUACGUCACGUCACCACCUGCUACAAAUCUACCUCCACCUGUGUGACACCUACUGACAGCACACACUACAAACAGGAAGUGAUGUCAGACACCGACCCUGUAGCUGAGAGAGCGAGGAGCGUCAGUGAACAGCACUGAGGUCUGCAG